rnacentral:rRNA from 1 species
CCCUACGCAAGGGAUCGUUAGGUUCUGUGUUCGAUGAAGACCGGGGCAGUAUCCGAUACUGCACAAUGGAUGCAUGGGGUUGUGCAUUGUUGAAUGAACAGAGAUGUUCGAGUACUCCUUUGAAUUAAGCA